CGAACGCUGGCGGCAGGCUUAACACAUGCAAGUCGAACGCGUGUAGCAAUACACGAGUGGCGCACGGGUGAGUAACGCGUGGAUAUCUGCCUUUUGGUUCGGAAUAACUCCGGGAAACUGGAGCUAAUACCGGAUGGUUCCUACGGGAUAAAGAUUUAUCGCCAAAAGAUGAGUCCGCGUACGAUUAGCUAGUUGGUGAGGUAAUGGCUCACCAAGGCGACGAUCGUUAGCUGGUCUGAGAGGACGAUCAGCCACACUGGGACUGAGACACGGCCCAGACUCCUACGGGAGGCAGCAGUGGGGAAUAUUGGACAAUGGGGGCAACCCUGAUCCAGCCAUGCCGCGUGAGUGAUGAAGGCCUUCGGUUGUAAAGCUCUUUGGUCGGGACGAUGAUGACGGUACCGCAGAUAAGCCCGGCUAACUCGUGCCAGAGCCGCGGUAAUCU
rnacentral:rRNA from 1 species